UACGUAGGUGGCAAGCGUUGUCCGGAUUUACUGGGCGUAAAGCGUGCGCAGGCGGUUUUGUAAGCCGGAUGUGAAAUCCCCGGGCUUAACCUGGGAAUGGCAUUCGGGACUGCAAGGCUGGAGUGCGGCAGAGGAGACUGGAAUUCCUGGUGUAGCAGUGAAAUGCGUAGAUAUCAGGAGGAACACCGAUGGCGAAGGCAGGUCUCUGGGCUGACACUGACGCUCAUGCACGAAAGCGUGGGGAGCAAACAGG
rnacentral:rRNA from 1 species